GCGGUCAUAGCUCAGUUGGUAGAGCACCACCUUGACAUGGUGAGGGUCGCAGGUUCGAGUCCUGUUGAUCGCA
rnacentral:tRNA from 1 species